AUACGGAGGAUCCGAGCGUUAUCCGGAUUUAUUGGGUUUAAAGGGAGCGUAGGCGGACGCUUAAGUCAGUUGUGAAAGUUUGCGGCUCAACCGUAAAAUUGCAGUUGAUACUGGUUUCCUUGAGUACGGUAUAGGUGGGCGGAAUUCGUGGUGUAGCGGUGAAAUGCUUAGAUAUCACGAAGAACUCCGAUCGCGAAGGCAGCUCACCGGGCCGGAACUGACACUGAUGCUCGAAAGUGCGGGUAUCAAACAGGAUUAGAUACCCUGGUAGUCCGCACAGUAAACGAUGAAUACUCGCUGUUUGCGAUACACUGUAAGCGGCCAAGCGAAAGCGUUAAGUAUUCCACCUGGGGAGUACGCCGGCAACGGUGAAACUCAAAUGAAUUGACGGG
rnacentral:rRNA from 1 species